ACAAUGGCUGUCACUGACAUUUA
rnacentral:siRNA from 1 species